rnacentral:rRNA from 1 species
CCUACGGGAGGCAGCAGUAGGGAAUUUUCGUCAAUGGGCGCAAGCCUGAACGAGCAAUGCCGCGUGAGUGAGGAAGGCCUUCGGGUCGUAAAGCUCUGUUGCGAGGGAAAAAGGAACGGAAGAGGAAAUGAUUCCGUUUUGAUGGUACCUCGCCAGAAAGUCACGGCUAACUACGUGCCAGCAGCCGCGGUAAU